rnacentral:rRNA from 1 species
CCUACGGGGGGCAGCAGUGAGGAUUAUUGGUCAAUGGACGAGAGUCUGAACCAGCCAAGUAGCGUGAAGGAUGACUGCCCUAUGGGUUGUAAACUUCUUUUAUAUGGGAAUAAAAUGUUCCACGUGUGGGAUUUUGUAUGUACCAUAUGAAUAAGGAUCGGCUAACUCCGUGCCAGCAGCCGCGGUAAUACGGAGGAUCCGAGCGUUAUCCGGAUUUAUUGGGUUUAAAGGGAGCGUAGGUGGAUUGUUAAGUCAGUUGUGAAAGUUUGCGGCUCAACCGUAAAAUUGCAGUUGAAACUGGCAGUCUUGAGUACAGUAGAGGUGGGCGGAAUUCGUGGUGUAGCGGUGAAAUGCUUAGAUAUCACGAAGAACUCCGAUUGCGAAGGCAGUUCACUGGACUGCAACUGACACUGAGGCUCGAAAGUGUGGGUAUCAAACAGGAUUAGAUACCCCAGUAGUC